rnacentral:rRNA from 1 species
UACGUAGGGAGCGAGCGUUACCCGGAUUUACUGGGCGUAAAGCGCGUGUAGGCGGCUGGUCAAGCGUGGUGUGAAAUCUCCGGGCUCAACCCGGAAACUGCAUUGCGAACUGACCUAGCUGGAGUGCAGGAGAGGGCAGCGGAAUUCCCGGUGUAGCGGUGAAAUGCGUAGAUAUCGGGAAGAACACCAGUGGCGAAGGCGGCUGCCUGGCCUGUAACUGACGCUGAGACGCGAAAGCGUGGGGGAGCGAACCGG